CUGCAGUCGAGCGAACUGAAUUAAAAGCUUGCUUCUAUGACGUUAGCGGCGGACCGUUGAAGUAACACGUGGGCAACCUGCCUGUAAGACUGGGAUAACUUCGGGAAACCGAAGCUAAUACCGGAUAGGAUCUUCUCCUUCAUGGGAGAUGAUUGAAAGAUGGUUUCGGCUAUCACUUACAGAUGGGCCCGCGGUGCAUUAGCUAGUUGGUGAGGUAACGGCUCACCAAGGCCACGAUGCAUAGCCGACCUGAGAGGGUGAUCGGCCACACUGGGACUGAGACACGGCCCAGACUCCUACGGGAGGCAGCAGUAGGGAAUCUUCCGCAAUGGACGAAAGUCUGACGGAGCAACGCCGCGUGAGUGAUGAAGGCUUUCGGGUCGUAAAACUCUGUUGUUAGGGAAGAACAAGUACAAGAGUAACUGCUUGUACCUUGACGGUACCUAACCAGAAAGCCACGGCUAACUACGUGCCAGCAGCCGCGGUAAUACGUAGGUGGCAAGCGUUAUCCGGAAUUAUUGGGCGUAAAGCGCGCGCAGGCGGUUUCUUAAGUCUGAUGUGAAAGCCCACGGCUCAACCGUGGAGGGUCAUUGGAAACUGGGGAACUUGAGUGCAGAAGAGAAAAGCGGAAUUCCACGUGUAGCGGUGAAAUGCGUAGAGAUGUGGAGGAACACCAGUGGCGAAGGCGGCUUUUUUGGUCUGUAACUGACGCUGAAGGCGCGAAAGCGUGGGGGAGCAAACCAGGAUUAGAUACCCUGGGUAGUCCACCCCCGUAAAC
rnacentral:rRNA from 1 species